rnacentral:piRNA from 1 species
UAGGACAGGUAGGUGAUGGCAAAUAUGA